UACGUAGGGUGCAAGCGUUAUUCGGAAUUACUGGGCGUAAAGCGUGCGCAGGCGGUUGUGCAAGACAGAUGUGAAAUCCCCGGGCUCAACCUGGGAAUUGCAUUUGUGACUGUACGGCUAGAGUGUGUCAGAGGGGGGUAGAAUUCCACGUGUAGCAGUGAAAUGCGUAGAGAUGUGGAGGAAUACCGAUGGCGAAGGCAGCCCCCUGGGAUAACACUGACGCUCAUGCACGAAAGCGUGGGGAGCAAACAGG
rnacentral:rRNA from 1 species